rnacentral:lncRNA from 1 species
UUCAACAGAGUAGUUAAACUUAAUUUUAAGCAUUCUUAUUCAGAAAAGUAGAAAAGUACGUAAGCAUGUGCAUAACUUUAAGCACAAUGAGAAUCAAUGGGACUUAAGCUCAUACUUAAAUUUAAGCAUGUGCUUUAACCAAUGUUAAUGGAAAGAAAAUAAGCCUAAUCAAAGUCUGUAUGAAAAGGAAAUAAAUAUUAUCAUUAGGGAUCAGUGAAUUAGUUAUAUAGGAACCAGCCAAAAUUGUGACUCAAAAUGUGCACUGAGCCCAAACCAAGCCUUUUAAGAGAAAUUAUGAUUAAUAUUUUUCAUAUGCUGUUCCAUCUCCUCUUUUUGGCCAUAAGCAUAUGAUAGGCUGAAAUAUUUUUAGUAUUUUUGACCCAGUUGGAAUUGGGAAUUACCAGAAAACCUAUGAGAGACUUUUAUUAGUUCUCCAAAUAAAGGGCCAAACUCCGAUUACUUUUCUCUUACAUAUAGACCCACAGAAGUAUUGGCGCCUUCCAGCAUAGAUGACGUAGGAGAGUCAGUUUGUUUCAGCACAUCUUCUUGUACAAAUGUAAACCAAUGAGGGAUCCGCAGGUGCAUCCUGCAAAUCAGGCAGACAUGGCCACAUGUUCGUGCCAUAGCCUGCUUUCUUUGUUCACAUUUCUCUUUAGCUUUUUCUGUUCUGCUAUUUUACAUAGCUUUAACCACAGGCCAACAGGUCUGCAGCCAACCUGACCUGUUAGCAGCAGCAGCAGCUUCCCAUGUGCUUGGAUUGAUGUGGCCAGCUUUUAGAUGGAACCAAGGCUUUGGAGCGGAGACCAGAGCUGGAGCACAGAGCAGCUCCGAAGCAGUGGAGCUGCAGAUUUUUGCCUGGAGCUGGAGCGGAGCCGAAGCACAGCUCCAAAGCCCUGGAUGGAACAAUCCAUCCCAGUAAUUCACAGUGAUAGUGUCUGGUAAAUUAAAAUUAUAUAUAUAGGAUGUAUAGAUUAGACUGUGGUCCGCAGACCACCAGUGGUCUGUGAGCUUCAUUCAGGUGGUCCGUGGACAGUUCCCUCUAAGGUGCGCACCUGGGCAGCCGCACAUGAG